GCUGGGCGUGGUGGCGCAUGCCUGUAAUCCCAGCUACUCGGGAGGCUGAGGCAGGAGAAUUGCUUGAACCUGGGAGGCAGAGGUUGCUGUGAGCUGAAAUCAUAGCCACUGCACUCCAGCCUGGGUGACACAGUGAGACUCUGUCUCAA
ensembl:misc_RNA Metazoa_SRP Metazoan signal recognition particle RNA